GGUUAAGCGACUAAGCGUACACGGUGGAUGCCCUGGCAGUCAGAGGCGAUGAAGGACGUGCUAAUCUGCGAUAAGCGUCGGUAAGGUGAUAUGAACCGUUAUAACCGGCGAUUUCCGAAUGGGGAAACCCAGUGUGAUUCGUCACACUAUCAUUAACUGAAUCCAUAGGUUAAUGAGGCGAACCGGGGGAACUGAAACAUCUAAGUACCCCGAGGAAAAGAAAUCAACCGAGAUUCCCCCAGUAGCGGCGAGCGAACGGGGAGCAGCCCAGAGCCUGAAUCAGUGUGUGUGUUAGUGGAAGCGUCUGGAAAGGCGCGCGAUACAGGGUGACAGCCCCGUACACAAAAAUGCACAUACUGUGAGCUCGAUGAGUAGGGCGGGACACGUGGUAUCCUGUCUGAAUAUGGGGGGACCAUCCUCCAAGGCUAAAUACUCCUGACUGACCGAUAGUGAACCAGUACCGUGAGGGAAAGGCGAAAAGAACCCCGGCGAGGGGAGUGAAAAAGAACCUGAAACCGUGUACGUACAAGCAGUGGGAGCACGCUUAGGCGUGUGACUGCGUACCUUUUGUAUAAUGGGUCAGCGACUUAUAUUCUGUAGCAAGGUUAACCGAAUAGGGGAGCCGAAGGGAAACCGAGUCUUAACUGGGCGUUAAGUUGCAGGGUAUAGACCCGAAACCCGGUGAUCUAGCCAUGGGCAGGUUGAAGGUUGGGUAACACUAACUGGAGGACCGAACCGACUAAUGUUGAAAAAUUAGCGGAUGACUUGUGGCUGGGGGUGAAAGGCCAAUCAAACCGGGAGAUAGCUGGUUCUCCCCGAAAGCUAUUUAGGUAGCGCCUCGUGAAUUCAUCUCCGGGGGUAGAGCACUGUUUCGGCAAGGGGGUCAUCCCGACUUACCAACCCGAUGCAAACUGCGAAUACCGGAGAAUGUUAUCACGGGAGACACACGGCGGGUGCUAACGUCCGUCGUGAAGAGGGAAACAACCCAGACCGCCAGCUAAGGUCCCAAAGUCAUGGUUAAGUGGGAAACGAUGUGGGAAGGCCCAGACAGCCAGGAUGUUGGCUUAGAAGCAGCCAUCAUUUAAAGAAAGCGUAAUAGCUCACUGGUCGAGUCGGCCUGCGCGGAAGAUGUAACGGGGCUAAACCAUGCACCGAAGCUGCGGCAGCGACGCUUAUGCGUUGUUGGGUAGGGGAGCGUUCUGUAAGCCUGCGAAGGUGUGCUGUGAGGCAUGCUGGAGGUAUCAGAAGUGCGAAUGCUGACAUAAGUAACGAUAAAGCGGGUGAAAAGCCCGCUCGCCGGAAGACCAAGGGUUCCUGUCCAACGUUAAUCGGGGCAGGGUGAGUCGACCCCUAAGGCGAGGCCGAAAGGCGUAGUCGAUGGGAAACAGGUUAAUAUUCCUGUACUUGGUGUUACUGCGAAGGGGGGACGGAGAAGGCUAUGUUGGCCGGGCGACGGUUGUCCCGGUUUAAGCGUGUAGGCUGGUUUUCCAGGCAAAUCCGGAAAAUCAAGGCUGAGGCGUGAUGACGAGGCACUACGGUGCUGAAGCAACAAAUGCCCUGCUUCCAGGAAAAGCCUCUAAGCAUCAGGUAACAUCAAAUCGUACCCCAAACCGACACAGGUGGUCAGGUAGAGAAUACCAAGGCGCUUGAGAGAACUCGGGUGAAGGAACUAGGCAAAAUGGUGCCGUAACUUCGGGAGAAGGCACGCUGAUAUGUAGGUGAAGUCCCUCGCGGAUGGAGCUGAAAUCAGUCGAAGAUACCAGCUGGCUGCAACUGUUUAUUAAAAACACAGCACUGUGCAAACACGAAAGUGGACGUAUACGGUGUGACGCCUGCCCGGUGCCGGAAGGUUAAUUGAUGGGGUCAGCGCAAGCGAAGCUCUUGAUCGAAGCCCCGGUAAACGGCGGCCGUAACUAUAACGGUCCUAAGGUAGCGAAAUUCCUUGUCGGGUAAGUUCCGACCUGCACGAAUGGCGUAAUGAUGGCCAGGCUGUCUCCACCCGAGACUCAGUGAAAUUGAACUCGCUGUGAAGAUGCAGUGUACCCGCGGCAAGACGGAAAGACCCCGUGAACCUUUACUAUAGCUUGACACUGAACAUUGAGCCUUGAUGUGUAGGAUAGGUGGGAGGCUUUGAAGUGUGGACGCCAGUCUGCAUGGAGCCGACCUUGAAAUACCACCCUUUAAUGUUUGAUGUUCUAACGUGGACCCGUAAUCCGGGUUGCGGACAGUGUCUGGUGGGUAGUUUGACUGGGGCGGUCUCCUCCUAAAGAGUAACGGAGGAGCACGAAGGUUGGCUAAUCCUGGUCGGACAUCAGGAGGUUAGUGCAAUGGCAUAAGCCAGCUUGACUGCGAGCGUGACGGCGCGAGCAGGUGCGAAAGCAGGUCAUAGUGAUCCGGUGGUUCUGAAUGGAAGGGCCAUCGCUCAACGGAUAAAAGGUACUCCGGGGAUAACAGGCUGAUACCGCCCAAGAGUUCAUAUCGACGGCGGUGUUUGGCACCUCGAUGUCGGCUCAUCACAUCCUGGGGCUGAAGUAGGUCCCAAGGGUAUGGCUGUUCGCCAUUUAAAGUGGUACGCGAGCUGGGUUUAGAACGUCGUGAGACAGUUCGGUCCCUAUCUGCCGUGGGCGCUGGAGAACUGAGGGGGGCUGCUCCUAGUACGAGAGGACCGGAGUGGACGCAUCACUGGUGUUCGGGUUGUCAUGCCAAUGGCACUGCCCGGUAGCUAAAUGCGGAAGAGAUAAGUGCUGAAAGCAUCUAAGCACGAAACUUGCCCCGAGAUGAGUUCUCCCUGACUCCUUGAGAGUCCUGAAGGAACGUUGAAGACGACGACGUUGAUAGGCCGGGUGUGUAAGCGCAGCGAUGCGUUGAGCUAACCGGUACUAAUGAACCGUGAGGCUUAACCUU
rnacentral:rRNA from 1 species